rnacentral:rRNA from 1 species
UACGUAGGGGGCAAGCGUUGUCCGGAUUCAUUGGGCGUAAAGAGCUCGUAGGCGGUUCAGUAAGUCAGGUGUGAAAGCUCCGAGCUCAACUCGGAGACGCCAUCUGAUACUGCUGUGACUAGAAUCCAGUAGGGGAGUGUGGAACUCCUGGUGUAGCGGUGAAAUGCGCAGAUAUCAGGAAGAACACCAGCGGCGAAGGCGGCACUCUGGGCUGGUAUUGACGCUGAGGAGCGAAAGUGUGGGUAGCAAA